rnacentral:rRNA from 1 species
UGCCCUAGUAACGGCGAGUGAAGCGGCAACAGCUCAAAUUUGAAAUCUGGCUUUCGGGCCCGAGUUGUAAUUUGUAGAGGAUGAUUUUGAUGCGGUGCCUUCCGAGUUCCCUGGAACGGGACGCCAUAGAGGGUGAGAGCCCCGUCUGGUUGGAUGCCAAAUCUCUGUAAAUCUCCUUCGACGAGUCGAGUAGUUUGGGAAUGCUGCUCUAAAUGGGAGGUAUAUGUCUUCUAAAGCUAAAUACCGGCCAGAGACCGAUAGCGCACAAGUAGAGUGAUCGAAAGAUGAAAAGCACUUUGAAAAGAGAGUUAAAAAGUACGUGAAAUUGUUGAAAGGGAAGCGUUUAUGACCAGACUUGGGCUUGGUUAAUCAUCUGGGGUUCUCUCCAGUGCACUUUUCCAGCCCAGGCCAGCAUCAGUUUUCGCCGGGGGAUAAAGACUUCGGGAAUGUGGCUCCCCUCGGGGAGUGUUAUAGCCCGUUGUGUAAUACCCUGGUGGGGACUGAGGUUCGCGCUUCUGCAAGGAUGCUGGCGUAAUGGUCAUCAACGACCCGUCUUGAAACACGGACCAAGGAGUCGUCUUCGUAUGCGAGUGUUCGGGUGUCAAACCCCUACGCGUAAUGAAAGUGAACGCAGGUGAGAGCUUCGGCGCAUCAUCGACCGAUCCUGAUGUUCUCGGAUGGAUUUGAGUAAGAGCAUACGGGGCCGGACCCGAAAGAAGGUGAACUAUGCCUGUGUAGGGUGAAGCCAGAGGAAACUCUGGUGGAGGCUCGCAGCGGUUCUGACGUGCAAAUCGAUC